UUUUAUGGAGAGUUUGAUCCUGGCUCAGAGUGAACGCUGGCGGCGUGCCUAAUACAUGCAAGUCGAACGAUGAAGCUUCUAGCUUGCUAGAAUGCUGAUUAGUGGCGCACGGGUGAGUAACGCAUAGGUCAUGUGCCUCUUAGUUUGGGAUAGCCAUUGGAAACGAUGAUUAAUACCAGAUACUCCCUACGGGGGAAAGAUUUAUCGCUAAGAGAUCAGCCUAUGUCCUAUCAGCUUGUUGGUAAGGUAAUGGCUUACCAAGGCUAUGACGGGUAUCCGGCCUGAGAGGGUGAACGGACACACUGGAACUGAGACACGGUCCAGACUCCUACGGGAGGCAGCAGUAGGGAAUAUUGCUCAAUGGGGGAAACCCUGAAGCAGCAACGCCGCGUGGAGGAUGAAGGUUUUAGGAUUGUAAACUCCUUUUGUUAGAGAAGAUAAUGACGGUAUCUAACGAAUAAGCACCGGCUAACUCCGUGCCAGCAGCCGCGGUAAUACGGAGGGUGCAAGCGUUACUCGGAAUCACUGGGCGUAAAGAGCGCGUAGGCGGGAUAGUCAGUCAGGUGUGAAAUCCUAUGGCUUAACCAUAGAACUGCAUUUGAAACUACUAUUCUAGAGUGUGGGAGAGGUAGGUGGAAUUCUUGGUGUAGGGGUAAAAUCCGUAGAGAUCAAGAGGAAUACUCAUUGCGAAGGCGACCUGCUGGAACAUUACUGACGCUGAUUGUGCGAAAGCGUGGGGAGCAAACAGGAUUAGAUACCCUGGUAGUCCACGCCCUAAACGAUGGAUGCUAGUUGUUGGAGGGCUUAGUCUCUCCAGUAAUGCAGCUAACGCAUUAAGCAUCCCGCCUGGGGAGUACGGUCGCAAGAUUAAAACUCAAAGGAAUAGACGGGGACCCGCACAAGCGGUGGAGCAUGUGGUUUAAUUCGAAGAUACACGAAGAACCUUACCUAGGCUUGACAUUGAGAGAAUCCGCUAGAAAUAGUGGAGUGUCUGGCUUGCUAGACCUUGAAAACAGGUGCUGCACGGCUGUCGUCAGCUCGUGUCGUGAGAUGUUGGGUUAAGUCCCGCAACGAGCGCAACCCCCUUUCUUAGUUGCUAACAGGUUAUGCUGAGAACUCUAAGGAUACUGCCUCCGUAAGGAGGAGGAAGGUGGGGACGACGUCAAGUCAUCAUGGCCCUUACGCCUAGGGCUACACACGUGCUACAAUGGGGUGCACAAAGAGAAGCAAUACUGCAAAGUGGAGCCAAUCUUCAAAACACCUCUCAGUUCGGAUUGUAGGCUGCAACUCGCCUGCAUGAAGCUGGAAUCGCUAGUAAUCGCAAAUCAGCCAUGUUGCGGUGAAUACGUUCCCGGGUCUUGUACUCACCGCCCGUCACACCAUGGGAGUUGUGUUUGCCUUAAGUCAGGAUGCUAAAUUGGCUACUGCCCACGGCACACACAGCGACUGGGGUGAAGUCGUAACAAGGUAACCGUAGGUGAACCUGCGGUUGGAUCACCUCCUUUCUAGA
rnacentral:rRNA from 1 species